CUUUAUUCCUAAGCAUGACGUACUGACGCCGUCAGUAUUUACUCGUUGUCCAUUUGAAGAAAUUGAACAAAUUUGCAGCCAAAGGGGCUGCUAGGAAACGAAACAAGGCUUAGAAACAUAAUAGAUGUUUGAUUGGUGUACUUGUACUUAAUUGGCAUUGGUCUAUUGCAAGUAAAAGCUUGAUUGUAGCUUGUGAAGAAUGGGCAGUGGCUUGUAAAAGGUGUAGCAUGAGUAUGUAGCUUAUUCAUCCUUGACGAUGGCAGGUGGAAGCUUAAUGAUGGCAGGUGGCAGUUUGCUCCAAGCAUAGGGCGAUAUGGACUUGCAUAGUUUUGAAGCAGUGGAUGCUUAGACUUCUUUGAAAAUUUAAGCUCCCGGAUUUUCUGCUUUAUUUGCCUAUCACUUGGGCGCAGCAAUACUAUGUUUACCAAGACUCUUAUUACUUCGGGAAGUUGUCUUGUUUUUUGAAGAACAUCUUUAAUGGCGUGGUGAAAGCUAAAGGUGGUUUGUCGUAUUAUUUCCAAAUGUUUUGAGUUAACGACGCCCAAGAGAUGACCACUUAUCGGUACUGUUAAACCAAUUGUCCCGGAAGUGCGCUGUGACAGAUCCAUCUAUACUCAGCAAACGCUCACGAGAUGAAUCAAAUUCAUCAUGUGUAGUUGCAAAAAGGGCAGAACGGAAAUGCUGUUGUAUAGCAUGCUUCUUUUCUUUUCCCAGGUUUUUCAGCUUAAGCAGCUUAGCAUCAACGGCCUUCAAGACGUGAAAAUGGCAUAGGAUGUGGGUUGCGCUUGUGAAAUAUUUCGCAAGAGCGGCAAUCUCUACACAAUCCUUAUCGGUAAUCGUAACAGUUGUAACAGAAACGUCAUUGGUCUGUAAAGUAAAGUAAGAUUAGACUUUUGUAAAAUAGUAUGUCAAUCAUAAUAAUUAUUACCUCAGAAAAAAGUUGUAAGCAUGUUGAAAUGGAAUCCACAGUCUCUUCUUUCAUGAAAAACAUCGCGACAGGCUGCCCGUCGCCCUUGUCAUCCGCUAUUAAAAGAUGAUAUAGGGAAAAGCCAGCCUUGGUGGUUUUGUAAAGUGCCGUCUAAUUCUAUUACAUUACCGUAUGUUCUGUACAUUUGCCGCUGCUUUUCCAGCUGGACAUAAAUGGCGGCAACCUCUCCAUCAGCAUCAUGUAAAACCAUUAUUACAUUGUUUUCUUCUUUCUGCAGAUCCAUGAGAUAAUCAACGGUGUCUCUCCAUUCAUUAGCUGACUUCCCUGUCAAUGUUUGUUUGAUGUUGAUCAGGUCUUUGCUGAUUAGAUGACUGCCAAAUUUGUCUUGCAGCAGCUUUCUCACUUUAGUGGGUUGAGCGGCGGAAAGAGUCGCUUCCGCUCCCAUAUGCCUAAAAAGCGUGACAUGCUGUGCGGAAACGGGGUGGUUCUUGGACAACUUCCAUUGAGGCAACGUAAAACUUUUCCUACCUGGAACAGAACGUGAAUUGCACUCUUACUGGACAACCUUGGGGCAUCACAUUCUGGUUUAAUCUAUCAUUCUUCUUGGAGCGGUCCCGAUGUAACCCAUAAUGCGGGCAAACGAACGUUUAUCACGGCGCAGAUAGACCCAUCUACUUUCUUGAUAAAGACUAAAAUCUCCUCCACACUUCCAAAGAACUGAUAUUUGCUCAGAGAACUAAGGACGGAUAUUCUUGGAUGAAAAAUGGACACGGAAUAAGUUCCUCUUCUAGUUUUCUUCUUCCGUUUAUUUUCUUCCGUCCCUCUCUUUCCAUCCAUUGGUUCGCAGCAUAUCAAAGAUGACCUUGAAGGGAAGACCUUUACCUUCCCUUGCGAUCACGUAACAAAAUAACUUUAAGCACGGUCAGCUGGCCUCAAAGACCCUCCGACGCACGCACCCGAAGAGGUGAUUUGCCUUGUAUACCUGUCCGGCCUUACCUUUGGUUACCACAUUGAUGUCCGCCGACAUGCAUACCCUUUUCAUUGUAUCAUGCCAUUAACUAUGUGUACUGCCAUUUUCCGUGAAUGAAAAUUAAUCUUGGUCUUGUAAAUAUUCCCCCGUGAAUGAAAAUUGUAAAUAUUGUCGUGAUGUAAAUAUUGAAAAUACAAAAAUAUCAUUCUAUA